AUUUGCACGUUGCUGGGGAACGUGCUGCUUCCACGUUUCCAGCAAUAACAAGGCACAUUUGCUGCUGCAGGUUCAUUAACGAGGCCUGCGGGAAUGAGGAUUGGCUUGUCCACCGUGUUCACUGGACGGUAGGAAAAAAGAAAAGUCAGAAAAGGGAGAGCGAUGUUCAAGUUCAUGCUCAACUGUGGCUACUUCUCUGAACCCAAGAGGCCACCAGCCCCUAGCUGCCUUGGCCAUUGCUGGGGUGGGCAUUAACUGGGAUCUUGAGCCCCCGUUUCUGCUGAUGGUCGACAACUUAAACUUGCCAAGUCAAGGUACCAGGCACCCCUCCAGCUUCUAUAUAUAGCACUCUGUGGCGACAGCUGGCUAUCUGAUGACUCAUCAGUCACCGUGGGCGUCUCCGGAUGGAACCCUGAACAUUUAUUCAGAGGGUGCUUUUGCCAGUUUCUGAACGACUCCUAUUGCGGUGGCUGAUUAGUGUUUUCGUAGCGUCUCUUCCAGUUCACCGCAGACCUGCUGUUCCGUGGAGUCUGGUGUUGCAAAGCUUGUUGCAAAGCUUGUGCUGAGGAACUGCGAGGGGUCUCUGGGAAUCUCUCUCAGGUUGCCGGGACCAGAGAGCCAUGUGUCUGGCUAAUGUGACCAUCCCUCAACAAGGGUACUGCUCACUGGAUUUCUCUACACAGACUCCCCUCCUGAGGAACUGACUAGGCAUGAAAGAUCUCCCCCAAGAAUUGUUUAGUGACAGCUUAAGCUAGGCUAGCCUCUCUGCCUCACUAAGCUCAGCUGAGGUCAGAGUGGUGGGGUGUGACGCCCGCAACUCCGGGCAGUUAACUCACACAAAGGGAAAACUCUCUCCCCACCUUGCCUACCUGCCUCCCUGCCUGUGGGCAAUUUUGCCAAUGUUUUCCAUUAGUCACAAAGGAGAGGGGCAGGUGGGGGCAGGGUGGUCAGUGGGGACAAUCAUUACACAGGAAGAAAACCAAAACCAUAUUACUAUCUAAGGCACUGUGCUAAGUGCUGGCAUUAGGGUUGCAUUUGGUGAAAAUCCACAUAUAACACAGAAAAAUCUAUGAACCAUCUAGAAAUCCUAACUUCUUGACCCUUGAACUCCUUCUUUAAGAAGAUCACUUGUUCAUGGAGGGCUUCCCUGACCCCUGGGCAGGCUCCUUCCCCAUUCUCUUGGCUGCUUCUGCCAGCACUUGGUGUCCUUUGCCUGAGGCUCUCUUUGGCUGCGUGAGUGGGCAGCCCUCCCUAACACCCUCAACUCUGACUGUUAGGAUUCCGUAAGUAAAUGCUCCAGCCUCCUCAUCCUUCAGGAGGGAUGAUCUGAGGUGUGUUCCACACUGUCAACCAGGGGUAUCCUGCAGGACCCAGCCCCAUUUGCCCCAACAAAUGCGGACAAAUGGGUGGGAGCCUACUUAUCAAUACGGCCUCUGACUGCCCCCCUGGCUCUCUCUCCAUGUCCUCAUUGCCCUACUGAUGCUUCCUGGAAUCACCUCCCAAAGAAACUGCUUGCACACAAAACCUUGUAUGCAAGACAUUUGCAAUCUAAAUUAAGUCUCCCUGUUCUUUCUCAGGGCACUCCCCACCCCCAGCUUAAUAGCACUCAUCAUGAUAUGUAAUUAUGCAUUUGUUUGUGUAUCUAUUUGUUUAAUGAGGGCAGAGACAAUGUCUAUUUUGUUCACCACUAAAUCCCUGCACAUCACUCAACCCAGAGCUUAACAUGUGGUAGAUGCUCAACGUAAAUUCUGUUGAAGGAAUGAAUGUAACAUCAUUAGAGCUUUCUAAUCUUUCACCCUUUGGGGUGGUUCAAAAACAUGACCCCAAAGUUUCCUGACACUCCUUCCAAUGAGAAGCGGGGUCCUUCUCUCCUUGAAUCUGGAUACGCUGGUGACAGCUUCAACUAAGAGAAUGAAAGGGCUAGGUCAUAAAAGGCCACACAGCUUCUGCCCUGAAGCCCUGAAUAGCUGUCAUGUAAGAACUCUGACUACCCUCAGCCGGCCAUGCUGAGAGGAGGCCCAAUUAAUAUGAAGGGACAACACAUAGGUGCAGAGAUCCAUAGUCCCAACUGAGCCCAGUCUCCAAGUCAUUUCAGCCUAAGUACCAGAUGUGUGAAUGAAGAAGCUUCUGGAUGAUUCCAGCCCCCAGCUCUUUUCAAGUCUUCUCAACUGAGACCCCAGACAUUGUGGAGCAGAGAGAUCCACAAUGCUUUGGCCCGUCCAAAUUCCUGACUUAUGGAAACUUCGAGCAUAAUAAAACCGUUGUUAAGCUGCUAAAUUUUGGAGUAAUUUGUUAUGCAGAAAUAAUUGGAAGACCUUGAUUGUGAGUUUAUUAAUUCUGCAUUUAUUUGAAAGUCAUUUAUCAAGUUCCUACUAUGUGCCAGGUGAUGGUUACACAGUAGCAAACAAGGGAAAGAUCCCUACCUUCCGGGAACUUACAAUCUAGGGGCUGCUGUUGUAACUGUAUCUUGCAAAAGCCUACAUGUUGCUUUUUAACAAUAAUGAGUAGGUUUUUCUGAAACCACUUCCAGAUGGUGUGGGGGGAGGGGUGCUUCCGGAGUGAGUUGCUAAGGGAAGCUCCAGGGGUAGGUGGAUUAGAUAACACAGACCCAGGGAGCUCUAUUAUUUGCUGGCUGUCAACCACCACUGUCCUGCAAAUCAUCCACAGACUAGCUGCACCCCCA
rnacentral:lncRNA from 10 species